rnacentral:rRNA from 1 species
AUUGAACGCUGGCGGCAGGCUUAACACAUGCAAGUCGAGCGCGCGGCGGACGGGUGAGUAGUGUCUGGGAAACUGCCUGAUGGGGGGGGAUAACUACUGGAAACGGUAUCUAAUACCGCAUACCAUCAGAUGUGCCCAGAGGGGAUUAGCUAGUAGGUGGGGUAAUGGCUCACCUAGGCCACGCUCCCUAGCUGGUCUGAGAGGAUGACCAGCCACACUGGAACUGAGACACGGGCCAGACUCCUACGGGAGGCAGCAGUGGGGAAUAUUGCACAAUGGGGGAAAGCCUGAUGCAGCCAUCCCGCGUGUGUGAAGAAGGCCUUCGGGUUGUAAAGUACUUUCAGCGAGGAGGCGUUACUCGCAGAAUAAGCACCGGCUAACUACGUGCCAGCCGCCGCGGUAAUUC